UAGACAAGCAAAUACAAAUUUGUACAAGCUUGACAUAAGAAAAUGUGUUAAAGCAGUCACAUCUUGUAUUUGCUAUUGUCCGAGGGAAGUAAUAGCUGAUACUUUUAAUCAGAGAAUCAAAAUGAGCUUUGAUGGCCAAAAUUGUGAGCACAAACAAGGAAUUUUACUUUUUUUUUCAGGCGUUCACAGCUUACAUACAUUAGACAUAAAUAUAUACACUUUAGAGGAAAUAAAAUAAAGGAUAAAAGAAACAGUAAGUAUAUGUAUGUUCACAUAUGCUGUGUAAGUGUACAUAUGUGUGGUUAUUCUAUUUUUAUUUAAUCAUUCAUGGUCCUGUGUGUGUCACCUUUCUGCAGAUCCAGUAUCUUAGCUGGGGACACAAACAGCUUGAAAGAAAAGUGUAUAAAACCAAAGAAGGAGAGAGUGAAAGUUUUCCUUUUUUCAGUCUGGCUCAUCGACCUGAAAGGAGACUGUUGGACAAGGAAGGCUACACAAAGGAUUUGCACCAUCUCCCCUUCAUUUGCCCUUUAUCGCUGUCACUAGUUUGUUUAGAUUUCAUUUUCUUUCUCAUGUUUAGCCAAGCUUAAUUGAAAAAGAAGGUUAGAGCAAACAAAGCAACGCCAGACAGGAAUAAGGAUGAAAGAACUAAAAAAGAGUGGAGAGAAGGAAAAGAAACAACACGCACACACAUUUACACACGUGCACUUUAUUGAUGCAGAACAAAUCAGCGAGUGGUAGUGAUCUAGCAGUUUCCUAUUCCCAAAUCAAACAACUACUCAUUAAAACCUCAACUUCUCCAGUCUUUUCACAAAUCAUUUCCACAAAUUCAUUUCACGGAAACACAUUCCACCCCAACACACAAAUCAAACCUAAUCUUAUGGUUCAUUUCCAUUUGCAAAUCCCAAAUCUCUUGAGUGAUUACAAUAAAUCUAUUCCACGUAUUUUCUGUCCAUUAUUACCUGUUAUCGUGAGUUUGGAUUUUUAAUAUGCUUCAGUAGAGACCGGGUUUCAAUUAUUUUAUUGAGCAGACAGUGCAGAAGAGCACUCAGUAACUAAAACAGUAGCCUUACACAUUCUGGUCCGCAGUCAACAAGUCAUUUCCCGUUAAGAAGGAGCGAGUAUGUUUGUGUCUCUGAACAAUGCCUGUUUGUUUUCUUUGGCUGAAUUUGUGCCUUUUUUUCCUCAGGUCUUGUCAUCUUUGACUGUGGGGAACAUAAAUCCAUGUCAGCCCUUCUACGUUUUGUGGGUGCGUCUUUUUGUGGUGGUCCCUACAAUGUUCUGCUGGUUUAGUUUGAAGAAUAAGCGGCAGGACUGGUGUCCAGGGUCAUGAGCUUGGCUGAGUGAUGCAGACACUCCUGGCUGCCAUCAACUAAUCCACUUCAGAAUAAUUUAGGAGCUCUCUGACAAUUAUUCACUUCCUGAUGGUCAACUACAACUGGGAACAACUCAACCCAUCACUAAGAACUUUCCUGAAAUUUUCUUGAAAACUCUUUAUUUUGGACAUUGAUGCUUUUUUGAACAUUUUUGCGACCAAUCACAUUGCGCUUCUAACCCCUGCACUUCUUUUCCCAGAUACCCAGUCUGACUUUUCCCUGCAUGUAGGUCAGAAAACUGAAUCAGAACAUGGCAACAGGUCUCCAAUUUCUCUACAAUUUGCUAAGGGACAUUUAUUGAAAGAUCAAUGGGGGUGUGUGUGUGUAUAUUUGUGUAUAUCUGAACUUGUGUGCUCAAUUUUGACCCUGUGCAAAUUGGAGUAAAUCAACAGUAAUUUCAAACUUGUUCACCUAAUUCUUUUUUUUUUUUUUUUUGUAUAAACCAAGACAAAAGAACAGUUCAAAUGCAUAAAUAAAACUGCAAACCUUUAACUGUUUGUAUUAAAU